GUCUCUGUAGUGCAAUAGAUAGCACUUUGGACCUAAUUCAAAUUUCGUAGGUUCGAUUCCUAUCUAGAUGACC